UCGGCGCUCUUGACCUUGACGUAGACCGGGGAGGGGCCUGCUUCGCAGGUGGCGGCGGCGGCGGCGGCGGCGGGGGCGGUGGUGCGGAGCGCCAGGGCCACGUCCUCCGGGCCGCCGCAGGGCGGGGGCGCGUACUUGCGGCGCAGGGAGCGGCUGAUGUUCUGCGUCGGGUACCCCAGGAGGUGAGUCACCUACCCCCUGCUGAAACAGAGAUGCAAGGAAGGGCCCCUUUCCCAACAACUGGAGAGAGAUCAUCAAUUCACCCUGUGAUCCUUAGCGAGCCUUGGUCUCCUCAUUUGUACAGUGAGGACAGGGCUAGACCGGCAGAAUUCUAAGGUCCCUUCCAGCUUGGAUCCUCUUUGACUGUUCGAGAGGGUGAUGGAAGCAUCGUACUGGCUGGGAUCCGAGGCUGCAAAGCGGACCCUCUGCUGCAGAUGGGGGAGGUUACCGUGGUUGAUCCUCUUGUCCUGGUAACUAAGGAACUGUGAAGAAGAGAAGAAAACAGAGAUGGUGAGACAGGCAGAGCCAAGGAAAGCCUCGCGGAUUGGCUGUCAUGGGCAAUUCUCUAAACUUCCCUGAGACUUAGUUUUCUCCAAUGAAAAAUGGAAACGAUGGUGCCCAAUGCACUGACAUUUGCAUGAGAUCAGAUGAGAUCACGCUCUGCCCAACCUCUGCAUGACACGGGUGCGUAAGGAUUAAACAGAUGAGGUGUAUAAAGCUGCUGGCACGCAGAGAGGCUGCCUGGUACUCACAAUCAAAAACUAUCAGAGCUGCAAGUAUAAGGCCAGGGUGGGGACAGUGCCGCAUCUUCCCUUUGGAGUCGGGUGGGAGGAGGCAGACUGACAAGCUGGCAUGAUUGGUAAUAACAUAGCUCUUCCCUGUUGCCACAGUCUCUGAGAAGCCUUCGGGGAAGUUCAAGGGCUUGGUUUUCUUAUCUGCCAUGCUUCCCCCCACCCCCCGCCCCAGAGUGUUGGCUGCCCAACAGGUAGAUAUCCUGCAGUGUAGGGUGAGGGGAACCCAGCGCCCAGCACUCACCACAUUCUCCCGUUGUGAGGGGUCUGAGUGGACCUGCAUCCACUCGAUGUCCAGCCCAUUGGGACCAUAGUCCUCAGGGUCCAGGAUGUAGGGGCAGCCCAGUCUCACAUUGUCACCUUCCGCCAGGUACAGGAUCUCCUGGCCAUCCCCGUUGAUCCGCACAGCAGACAGCAGUGCUAGGAUGCAGGCAGGGCAGAUGGGGUAGGGGGAACAGAACCAGCACUUGGGUGGUCAGCUUCAACCCCUCUCCCUCCACCAUUUCUGUCUGUGGCAGUCCCGGGCUCAGUGGGGGUUUCCUGGGAAGGAGGGGCUUCUCUGAGUGUGUGCGUAGGUGUAUGCAUAAAUUGCUAGAUGCAUGUCUCUGCAUA